CCUACGGGAGGCAGCAGUGAGGAAUAUUGGUCAAUGGACGAGAGUCUGAACCAGCCAAGUAGCGUGAAGGAUGACUGCCCUAUGGGUUGUAAACUUCUUUUAUAAAGGAAUAAAACGAGGCACGUGUGCCUUUUUGCAUGUACUUUAUGAAUAAGGAUCGGCUAACUCCGUGCCAGCAGCCGCGGUAAUACGGAGGAUCCGAGCGUUAUCCGGAUUUAUUGGGUUUAAAGGGAGCGUAGAUGGGUUGUUAAGUCAGUGGUGAAAGUUUGCGGCUCAACCGUAAAAUUGCAAUUGAUACUGGUAGUCUUGAGUACAGUUGAGGUAAGCGGAAUUCGUGGUGUAGCGGUGAAAUGCUUAGAUAUCACGAAGAACCCCGAUUGCGAAGGCAGCUUACUAAACUGUGACUGACAUUGAUGCUCGAAAGUGUGGGUAUCAAACAGGAUUAGAUACCCCAGUAGUC
rnacentral:rRNA from 1 species